rnacentral:rRNA from 1 species
UACGUAGGGAGCAAGCGUUGCCCGGAAUUACUGGGCGUAAAGAGCUCGUAGGCGGGGGCGUGCGUCCGAGAAGAAAUCUCAAGGCUCAACCUUGGGGCUAUCUCGGAUACGGCGCUUCUUGAGGGUGAGAGAGGAAAGCGGAAUUCCAGGUGUAGCGGUGAAAUGCGUAGAUAUCUGGAGGAACACCAGCGGCGAAGGCGGCUUUCUGGCUCAUUCCUGACGCUGAGGAGCGAAAGCGUGGGUAGCGAACGGG